GAUCCAGCCAUGCCGCGUGUGUGAAGAAGGCCUUUUGGUUGUAAAGCACUUUAAGCGAGGAGGAGGGUACUUGGAUUAAUACUGUGGGAUAGUGGACGUUACUCGCAGAAUAAGCACCGGCUAACUAUGUGCCAGCAGCCGCGGUAAUACGGAGGGUGCGAGCGUUGUUCGGAUUUACUGGGCGUAAAGGGUGCGUAGGCGGCUUUUUAAGUCGGAUGUGAAAUCCCUGGGCUUAACCUGGGAAUUGCAUUCGAUACUGGGAAGCUAGAGUAUGGGAGAGGGUGGUAGAAUUCCAGGUGUAGCGGUGAAAUGCGUAGAGAUCUGGAGGAAUACCGAUGGCGAAGGCAGCCAUCUGGCCUAAUACUGACGCUGAGGUACGAAAGCAUGGGGAGCAAACAGGAUUAGAUACCCUGGUAGUCCAUGCCGU
rnacentral:rRNA from 1 species